rnacentral:rRNA from 1 species
AUUGAGCGCUGGGGGCAGGCUUAACACAUGCAAGUCGAGCGGAGAUGAGGUGCUUGCACCUUAUCUUAGCGGCGGACGGGUGAGUAAUGCUUAGGAAUCUGCCUAUUAGUGGGGGGCAACAUUCCGAAAGGAAUGCUAAUACCGCAUACGCCCUACGGGGGAAAGCAGGGGAUCUUCGGACCUUGCGCUAAUAGAUGAGCCUAAGUCGGAUUAGCUAGUUGGUGGGGUAAAGGCCUACCAAGGCGACGAUCCGUAGCGGGUCUGAGAGGAUGAUCCGCCACACUGGGACUGAGACACGGCCCAGACUCCUACGGGAGGCAGCAGUGGGGAAUAUUGGACAAUGGGCGGAAGCCUGAUCCAGCCAUGCCGCGUGUGUGAAGAAGGCCUUUAGGUUGUAAAGCACUUUAAGCGAGGAGGAGGCUACUUAGAUUAAUACUCUAGGAUAGUGGACGUUACUCGCAGAACAAGCACCGGCUAACUCUGUGCCAGCCGCCGCGGUAAUAC